AUUGCGCAAUGGAGGGAACUCUGACGCAGCGACGCCGCGUGAGCGAUGAAGGUCUNCGNNUCGUANANCUCUGUCCUUGGGGANNNNNGGAGCCGUAAGGCUUCUUGACGGUACCCAUGGAGGAAGCCUCGGCUAACUACGUGCCAGCAGCCGCGGUAAUACGUAGGGGGCAAGCGUUGUCCGGAAUUAUUGGGCGUAAAGGGUGCGUUGGCGGCCCUUUAAGUCAGAUGUGAAAGCCCACGGCUUAACCGUGGGACUGCAUUUGAAACUGGAGGGCUUGAGUGUCGGAGAGGGCAGUGGAAUUCCCAGUGUAGCGGUGGAAUGCGUAGAUAUUGGGAGGAACACCAGUGGCGAAGGCGACUGCCUGGACGAUAACUGACGCUGAGGCACGAAAGCUAGGGGAGCAAAC
rnacentral:rRNA from 1 species